AAUAAUACAACUUAAUUUUUUUUAGUAUUAAUAUAUUUUUAAUAUUUUAAUUUUAAGGAAAGGUUUAUAAGGUGAAAUUUUUAAAUUUUUUAAUAAAUUAAUUAUUGAUAAUUAUUUAAUAAAUUUGUUAAUAAACUAGGAUUAGAUACCCUAUUAUUAUAAAUGUAAAUUUAAACUAGAUUAGUAGUAGUUAUGUUCUUGAAAAUUAAAAAAUUUGGCGGUUUUUUAGUCUAUUCAGAGGAAUCUGUCCCAUAAUCGAUAAUCCACGAUUUGAGUUACCUAAGUUAUUAGUUUGUAUAUCGUCGUAGUUUGAAUAUUUUAUAAGAAAUUAAAUGUUCAUAAUUUUUUUAAAAAAAGUAAAUCAGAUCAAGAUAUAGCUUAUACUUAGGGGGUGAUGGAUUACAUUAAUUUUAAUUUAGGAUUUAAAAUUUAAAAUUUUAAUGAAUAAGGAUUUGAAAGUAAUUUUAUAUAAAAUUAUAAAAUGAUUAUAGCUCUAAAAUAUGCACAUAUCGCCCGUCGCUUUCACUUUAAAGUGAAAUAAGUCGUAACAAAGUAGGCUUACCGGAAGGUGAGCCUAGAAAGGGACAAGUUAGAGCUUGAUAUAAAGUAUUUUAUUUACAUUAAAAAGUUAAUUGUGAAAUUCAAUUUAACUUGAUUUUGAAAAUAUUAUUUUUAAUAAGAUUUAAUUUUUAUUUAGAAAAAAAAAUUAGUUUUUAGUAUAAUUAAGAAAUAAUUAUUUUUAUAAUAGAUUAUUAGUAUUGUGAAAGAUUUAUUUUAAGAUUUUAAAAGAAAAUUUUAU
rnacentral:rRNA from 1 species